CAUCGUAGAUGCUUGCAUGUGUGAAUAAGGGAUGUCCAAAAGCAGCCAAGGAUGACUUGCCGGCUGGCCGCCUCAGCCUGCUGCAUUUCUCGUUAUGUUUUUUCUUUCACCAUUUCAUUUUUUUCCUACUAAAGCUGUAAAGCCGGCCGGCAAGUCGUCUCGGGCUACUCUACUCCCUUCUUCUCUCAUGCUACAUUUUACGAUG
rnacentral:pre_miRNA from 1 species